rnacentral:lncRNA from 1 species
GCGGCCGGCGAUGGUUCGGCCAGUGGUGGCCGAGGGUCGGGAGGGUGGUGGCCGAGGAUUGGGCAGGUGGCGGCUGCUGCCCUUGGGCCAAGAAAUGGGGAAGGGGAGAUGUAUUCCCAACCAUGAAGAGAGAGGAAUCAUCCAUUCUUUUGGUCUCUUCAACGGGACCGAUCAUCGUCGCGGCAUGGCUGCGGCCACGGCUGGCGACGACGUAGGCUGGUGGUACGGAGUGGGAGUCGGGCCACCCCGACUGCCCUAGAUCUGGAGGGAUUGAGAUGUUUGGGGACCUGGUGAUGGACCCCAUAGUAGAUGUGAAUUAUGGUUUAGAAUAUUUAAAUAUUAAAUAAUUUAGUUGUGAUUUAUAAUUGAUGUUGUAGAGGAAAAGUCAGCGGUGCCAGGAGAUUUUGAUCAGGG